rnacentral:rRNA from 1 species
ACCUACGGGGCGCCGCAGUGCGGAAUAUUUGUCAAUUUUCUUUAGACUGAACCAGCCAAGCCGCGUGAGGGAGGAAGGUACAGAGUAUCGUAAACCUCUUUUGUCAGGGAACAAAGGCGGGGACGUGUCCCCGGAUGAGUGUACCUGAAGAAAAAGCAUCGGCUAACUCCGUGCCAGCAGCCGCGGUAAUACGGAGGAUGCGAGCGUUAUCCGGAUUUAUUGGGUUUAAAGGGUGCGCAGGCGGUCUGUUAAGUCAGCGGUCAAAGCCCGGGGCUCAACCCCGGCCCGCCGUUGAAACUGGCAGG